rnacentral:rRNA from 1 species
UUUCCGGUUGAUCCUGCCGGACCUGACUGCUAUCGGAUUGAUACUAAGCCAUGCGAGUCUUUGUAGCAAUACAAGGCAGACGGCUCAGUAACGCGUAGUCAACCUAACCUAUGGAUGGGAAUAACCUCGGGAAACUGAGAAUAAUGCCCAAUAGAACACUAUACCUGGAAUGGUUUGUGUUCCAAAUGAUUUAUCGCCGUAGGAUGGUACUGCGGCCUAUCAGUUUGUUGGUGAGGUAAUGGCCCACCAAGACUAUUACAGGUACGGGCUCUGAGAGGAGUAGCCCGGAGAUGGGUACUGAGACACGGACCCAGGCCCUAUGGGGCGCAGCAGGCGAGAAAACUUUGCAAUGUGCGAAAGCACGACAAGGUUAAUCCGAGUGAUUUGUGCUAAACGAAUCUUUUGUUAGUCCUAGAAACACUAACGAAUAAGGGGUGGGCAAGUUCUGGUGUCAGCCGCCGCGGUAAAACCAGCACCUCAAGUGGUCAGGAUGAUUAUUGGGCCUAAAGCAUCUGUAGCCGGCUCUGUAAGUUUUCGGUUAAAUCUGUACGCUCAACGUACAGGCUGCCGGGAAUACUGCAGAACUAGGGAGUGGGAGAGGUAGACGGUACUCGGUAGGAAGGGGUAAAAUCCUUUGAUCUAUCGAUGACCACCUGUGGCGAAGGCGGUCUACCAGAACACGUCCGACGGUGAGGGAUGAAAGCUGGGGGAGCAAAUCGGAUUAGAUACCCGGGUAGUC